ensembl:lncRNA
CUGAGAAUUCUCAUCGGUGUGGAUCUCGUGUGGUGGAAUGGAACAAUAAAGCUGGACCCUUGCUUCUUCUCACUCACGGCUGGUGUAUUUUUUCCAUCUCCAACUGGUCUCAGAGGUGGCGAUUGCAGGCACAUUUUAUCCGAACUGCUUCCUCCAGGGAACUCUAUGGAAACGACCCCAGGACCACCAUAGUGGUGUGUAAUCUCCCUCCAUUUGCAUUCCUCUACUAUAAACAGCUCCAGUCUCUCUUCAGACACUGUGGUUAAAUCAAAUCCAUCUCCUUUGACAGCUCCAGGGCCUAUGUAGAGUUCUACCGCUCGUCAAUGAGAGGUUCUGGCGUUCUCCCAGAGGUCUCUCUGUCUCUCCUUCUCACGCAGAAGAGACUUCCUCUCCAUCUCAACGUUUAACCCGCUGGAGAGGUGGAGACUUGGGCAGGGGGGUAGUGUAUCUCACACCUCAGAUAUACACGGUACACACACACUCUGCAGCGAGCAUCAUCAGAUGAGUCAUGGUUACAUUUUAAGUGAGAGUAGUCAUGUGACCACAUCCCCUAGACAGUGUGAUGUUUAGAUGAUGUUCUGUACAUUAGUGCUGUUCUGUUACAGGUCUCUCUCUCUGUGUCUCU